rnacentral:rRNA from 1 species
AAUGGAGGAAACUCUGAUGCAGCGAUGCCGCGUGAGUGAAGAAGGCCUUUGGGUUGUAAAGCUCUUUCGUCGGGGAAGAAAAUGACCGUACCCGAAUAAGAAGGUCCGGCUAACUUCGUGCCAGCAGCCGCGGUAAUACGAAGGGACCUAUCGUAGUUCGGAAUUACUGGGCUUAAAGAGUUCGUAGGUGGUUGAAAAAGUUGGUGGUGAAAUCCCAGAGCUUAACUCUGGAACUGCCAUCAAAACUUUUCAGCUAGAGUAUGAUAGAGGAAAGCAGAAUUUCUAGUGUAGAGGUGAAAUUCGUAGAUAUUAGAAAGAAUACCAAUUGCGAAGGCAGCUUUCUGGAUCAUUACUGACACUGAGGAACGAAAGCAUGGGUAGCGAAGAGGAUU